rnacentral:misc_RNA from 1 species
AGCUUGUCUAAGGACAUGGGGCUCCCCGGCUUCAGAGUUGGCAUCGUUUAUUCAUAUAACGAUGAAGUCGUCAGGUGCGGUCGCAAGAUGUCAAGUUUUGGUUUAGUCUCUUCGCAGACUCAAUAUUUGCUGGCUCGCAUGCUUUCUGAUGAGGAGUUUGUGAAAAAUUUUCUUGCGGAGAGCUCGAGAAGGCUAAACAAAAGGCACAGUAUGUUCACAAAGGGGCUGGAACAAGUGGGGAUCAAUUGUCUAAAAGGCAAUGCUGGUCUUUAUGUUUGGAUGGACCUACACCAUCUUCUUAAAGAACCAACAUUCGAAGGGGAAAUGACUCUGUGGAGAGUGAUUAUUGACCAGGUUAGGCUCAAUGUUUCGCCGGGCUCUUCUUUCCAUUGCAAGGAGCCUGGUUGGUUUAGGGUGUG